rnacentral:tmRNA from 1 species
GGGGGCGAUACAGGUUCGACGUGGGUAGUUGGGUUUGAGCAGCGAGCAUGGGAGCCGUGCCCAUCAAAGCGGCAAGCAAAUAACUGCUGAUACAAAUUACGCACUGGCUGCUUAAAUAAGCGGCCACGGCACCGGAGAGAAAGCUUCCCUAUCUUCGUGUUGCCGUCACUAGGGAAGAUACCCAUGUGGGGUUGCUUGGGACCACUUGGGGAAAAGAAUUCUGAGCUGGCGAGUUGGGAAGCCCGCUCCGGGGCGCCUCAACUUGCGAGAACAAAUCCGGAGAUACGCUCGUAGAGACUGAGGCCUGGUUACUUACGGACGAGGGUGCAAUUCCCUCCGCCUCCACCA